rnacentral:rRNA from 1 species
GACGAACGCUGGCGGCGUGCUUAACACAUGCAAGUCGAACGGAAAGGCCCUGCUUUUGUGGGGUGCUCGAGUGGCGAACGGGUGAGUAACACGUGAGUAACCUGCCCUUGACUUUGGGAUAACUUCAGGAAACUGGGGCUAAUACCGGAUAGGAGCUCCUGCUGCAUGGUGGGGGUUGGAAAGUUUCGGCGGUUGGGGAUGGACUCGCGGCUUAUCAGCUUGUUGGUGGGGUAGUGGCUUACCAAGGCUUUGACGGGUAGCCGGCCUGAGAGGGUGACCGGCCACAUUGGGGCUGAGGUAAGGCCGAGACUCCUACGGGAGGCAGCAGUGGGGAAGAUUGCACAAUGGGCGGAAGCCUGAUGCAGCAACGCCGCGUGCGGGAUGACGGCCUUCGGGUUGUAAACCGCUUUCGCCUGUGACGAAGCGUGAGUGACGGUAAUGGGUAAAGAAGCACCGGCUAACUCCGUG